UGAUGGGGAAGCCCUUCGGGGCGAAGUAGCUGAUUUCACACUGUCAAGAAAAGCUUCUAUCGAGUUUAAAGGCGCCCGUACCGUAAACCGACACAGGUGGGUGAGGAGAGUAUCCUAAGGCCAGCGAGAGAACUAUUGUUAAGGAACUCGGCAAAAUGACCCCGUAACUUAGGGAGAAGGGGUGCCUGUCUAUGACAGGCCGCAGAGAAUAGGCCCAAGCGACUGUUUACCAAAAACACAGGUUUCUGCUAAGUCGCAAGACGAUGUAUAGGAGCUGACGCCUGCCCGGUGCUGGAAGGUUAAGGGGAUCUGUUAGAGCAAUCGAAGCAGUGAACUUAAGCCCCAGUAAACGGCGGCCGUAACAAUAACGGUCCUAAGGUAGCGAAAUUCCUUGUCGGGUAAGUUCCGACCCGCACGAAAGGCGUAACGAUUUGGGCACUGUCUCAACAAUAGACUCGGUGAAAUUGUAAUCCCGGUGAAGAUGCCGGGUACCUGCGACAGGACGGAAAGACCCCAUGGAGCUUUACUGUAGCUUGACGUUGGGUCUUGGUACUACAUGUACAGGAUAGGUGGGAGACUAUGAAGCAUGGACGCCAGUCUGUGUGGAGUCAUCCUUGGGAUACCACCCUUGUAGUACUGGGAUCCUAACCAUAGGCCUUGAAUCAGGUCUUGGAACACCGUCAGGUGGGCAGUUUGACUGGGGCGGUCGCCUCCUAAAAAGUAACGGAGGCGCUCAAAGGUUUCCUCAGCACGGUCGGAAAUCGUGCGAAGAGUGUAAAGGCAAAAGGAAGCUUGAUUGCAAGACAUACAGGUCGAGCAAGGACGAAAGUCGGACUUAGUGAUUCGGUGGUACCGCAUGGAAGGGCCAUCGCUCAACUGAUAAAAGCUACCCUGGGGAUAACAGGCUUAUCUCCCCCAAGAGUCCACAUCGACGGGGAGGUUUGGCACCUCGAUGUCGGCUCAUCACAUCCUGGGGCUGUAGUAGGUCCCAAGGGUUGGGCUGUUCGCCCAUUAAAGUGGUACGCGAGCUGGGUUCAGAACGUCGUGAGACAGUUCGGUCCCUAUCCGUCGCAGGCGUAGGAAAUUUGAGAAGACCUGUCCUUAGUACGAGAGGACCGGGAUGGACGUACCUCUGGUGUACCUGUUGUUCUGCCAAGGGCAUGGCUGGGUAGCUAUGUACGGAAUGGAUAAGCGCUGAAAGCAUCUAA
rnacentral:rRNA from 1 species